AUUGAACGCUGGCGGCAGGCCUAACACAUGCAAGUCGAACGAGUGGCGGACGGGUGAGUAAUGUCUGGGAAACUGCCUGAUGGAGGGGGAUAACUACUGGAAACGGUAGCUAAUACCGCAUACCAUCAGAUGUGCCCAGAUGGGAUUAGCUUGUGGGUGGGGUAACGGCUCACCACGGCGACGAUCCCUAGGUGGUCUGAGAGGAUGACCACCCACACUUGAACUGGUACAAGGUCAAGAGUCCUACGGGAGGCAGCAGGGGGGAAGAUUGCACAAUGGGGGCAAGCCUGAUGCAGCCAUGCCGCGUGUAUGAAGAAGGCCUUCGGGUUGUAAAGUACUUUCAGCGGGGAGGCGUUACCCGCAGAAGAAGCACCGGCUAACGCCGUGCCAGCAGCCGCGGUAAUUC
rnacentral:rRNA from 1 species